UGGGGCAUGGCUGGGGGACUGUCUGGGGCGCGCCCAGGCAGCCCCCAGCCACCAAAAAACAAGCUGCUCCCCCCAAA
rnacentral:pre_miRNA from 1 species